rnacentral:rRNA from 1 species
UACGAAGGGGGCUAGCGUUGCUCGGAAUCACUGGGCGUAAAGCGCACGUAGGCGGACUCUUAAGUCAGGGGUGAAAUCCUGGAGCUCAACUCCAGAACUGCCUUUGAUACUGAGAGCCUUGAGUCCGGGAGAGGUGAGUGGAACUGCGAGUGUAGAGGUGAAAUUCGUAGAUAUUCGCAAGAACACCAGUGGCGAAGGCGGCUCACUGGCCCGGUACUGACGCUGAGGAGCGAAAGCGUGGGGAGCGAACAGG